rnacentral:rRNA from 1 species
GUACACGCUGUGACUAGCAUAUCAAUAAGCGGAGGAAAAGUAACUAACAAGGAUUCCCCUAGUAACGGCGAGUGAAGCGGGAAGAGCUCAAAUUUGAAAUCUAAAAGGGUUUCCCUUUACGAAUUGUAGUUUAAAGAAGUGUUUUCUGUUGAGGUUUUGGUAAGAGUUCUUUGGAAUAGGACAUCAUAGAGGGUGAGAAUCCCGUAUUUGACCUUUACUUUCAACUUUGUGAUACACUUUCAAAGAGUCGGAUUGUUUGGGAAUGCAGUCCAAAAUGGGUGGUAAAUUUCAUCUAAAGCUAAAUAUUGGCGAGAGACCGAUAGCGAACAAGUACCGUGAGGGAAAGAUGAAAAGAACUUUGAAAAGAGAGUUAAACAGUACGUGAAAUUGUCAAAAGGGAAGCGUUUGACACCAGUGUUGUUUUUCUGAAAAUCAAUUAAAGAACUGUUUAUGCUAAGUUGUUUAGACUUUAUCAGCUAACUGUUUAGUUUUGAGCUUUUCUUUAAUGCACCUUUUCAGUUAACAAGUCAACAUCAAUUUCUUUUGCUGUAAAAAAGCUUGAGGAAGGUGGCUUGAGAUUCGUCUUAAGUGUUUAUAGCCUCUUGCCUAUGCAGUCGGAGAGAUUGAGGUCUGCAGCGUAGAUCCUUCGGGGCUAAAUGCAUUUGUGCUAAGUUAUAGCAUUUUAUAGACAACUUGUUGACUAUGAUUUGUCUUGUAGCUUACUCGCUUAUGUUAUUUUACCUACGCUUAGGAUGUUGAUAUGCAUGACUGAUAU